CCGACCCGUCACAUCACGAAAGUGGAUUGUACUAGAAGUCUGCAGGCUAACCGUAAGGAGGCAGCGGCCCAAGGUAUGAUUCAUGAGUUGGGUG
rnacentral:rRNA from 1 species